rnacentral:rRNA from 1 species
GCGAAAACUUUACAAUGCUGGCAACGGCGAUAAGGGGACCUCGAGUGCCAGGUUACAAAUCUGGCUGUCGUGAUGCCUAAAAAACAUUGCAUAGCAAGGGCCGGGCAAGACCGGUGCCAGCCGCCGCGGUAACACCGGCGGCUCGAGUGGUAACCGUUAUUAUUGGGUCUAAAGGGUCUGUAGCCGGCCGGAUAAGUCUCUUGGGAAAUCCAGCAGCUUAACUGUUGGGCUUUCAGGAGGGACUGUCUGGCUCGAGGCCGGGAGAGGUGAGAGGUACUUCAGGGGUAGGGGUGAAAUCUUGUAAUCCUUGAAGGACCACCAGUGGCGAAGGCGUCUCACCAGAACGGACCUGACGGCAAGGGACGAAAGCUAGGGGCACGAACC